AUGAGUUACCCCAUAUUUAACGAAUGGUAUCCCAUGUUCAAGCCUCAUACUAUUCGCACCCUCUUCCACCCACUCCCCGAUCCAUUCCUCCGCUACCUUGGUCUCAAACCCGUCUCCCCACCUCCCCACGCCGGCUCCCACAACGACGACGAUGAUGACGCGCCGCUCUAUUCCUCCUUCCCCGCCCCGCGUCCUGUCCGGCCGCGGCCCCCUUCCUCGCCCCGCCCCCGGCAUCGACCCCACCUCCCUUCUCGACCGCUCCUCCCAGCUCUCCGUAUCCGACGAAGACGAAGCGGAAGCUGACUCCGCCCCGUCGUUUCCCGAGCUUGAGGCGGCGGUCGAGCGGUCCAUUACCGCCCUAGGCGGCGCUUCCUUCCCCAAGUUGAACUGGAGCGCACCCAAGGACGCAGCCUGGAUCUCCGCCGACGGCACCCUCCGCUGCUCCUCCUUUGCCGACGUUGCUCUCCUCCUUCACUCCUCCGACUCCAUCGCCCACGACCUCUCUUCCCACCCACUCCCCUCCUCCUCCUCCUCCUCCUCCUCCUUCCCACUCUUCACCUUUUACCUUGCCCUCCGCAAGUGGUACCCUUCUCUCCGCCCCGAGAUGGAGUUCCGCUGCUUCGCCCGCUGCCGCCGCCUCAUAGCCAUAUCCCAGCGCGAAGUCACCAACUUCUACCCCGCCCUUCUCGACCACCGCCACCACAUCCUGCCGCUCAUCCAGACCUUCUUCUCCGAGGUCGUGGGUCCCACGUUCGAGUCUCAGAACUACACCUUCGACGUUUAUGUCACCAGUGACGGGCGGGUGAAGCUUAUCGACUUCAACCCAUGGCGCGCCUUCACAUUACCCCUUCUCUUUACCUGGGAGGAGUUGGAGGAAGAAGCAUUUAAUUCCAAGGAGGAAGAAGUAGACAAAGAGCAUGGAGAAGAAGAAGCAAGAUUGGUGGAGUUUCGGAUUGUCGAAAGCCAAUGUGGGGUGAGGCCAGGGUUGAAGACGGCUGUGCCUUACGACUACUUGGACACAGGGGAAGGAAGUGGGUGGGAUCAGUUCUUGAGGAGAGCCGACGAAGAGCUGAGGAAGCAGGCCAAGACAACUUUGCACCCCAGUGAUGAUGCUUAAAGAAGAACAAAAGAUCUUUCAGCUUGAUUUCUUAUGGAUUUCUAUCCAGGUUUGAAAUUAUGGGGGCUGGCUCUACUGAACUUUAUACCGGGCAAAGUGUGAGGACAGAUGUCACGAGGAAUCUCAGUUGCCAACAAGCCAUUAACUGCAUGUGUAGGUUUUUUUGUCGACCUGUGCCCUUGUUAAUCUUUAAGCAAACAAUUGUGCUGUGUUUUGGUUAAUCUAGACGCGCUAGUGCUACUUAUACUCGAGUUUAGUUUGCUUCAAACUUCUUUGGUGAAUGAUACAAAUUAACUGGAAGCUUUUCCAUGUAUGAUUUAUGUGCGCUGCUGGAAUUGUUUUCAAUGGAUUGAAUAGGCCGUGGAUUGCUA